AGAGUUUGAUCCUGGCUCAGAGCGAACGUUAGCGGCAGGCCUAACACAUGCAAGUCGAGCGAGAAAGGGGCUUCGGCCCUGAGUAAAGCGGCGGACGGGUGCGUAACACGUGGAUAAUCUGCCCUUCGGCGGGGGAUAACAGUCCGAAAGGAUUGCUAAUACCGCAUACGUCUACGGAGGCUCCGGCUUCUGUAGGGAAAGGGGGCGCCCGCAAGGGGCUCUCACCGAGGGAUGAGUCCGCGGCCCAUCAGCUAGUUGGCGGUGUAACAGACCACCAAGGCUUAGACGGGUAGCUGGUCUGAGAGGAUGAUCAGCCACACUGGGACUGAGACACGGCCCAGACUCCUACGGGAGGCAGCAGUGGGGAAUAUUGGGCAAUGGGCGCAAGCCUGACCCAGCCAUGCCGCGUGAGUGAUGAAGGCCUUCGGGUCGUAAAGCUCUGUGGGGAGGGACGAACAGCCCGGCGGUUAAUACCCGCAGGGUCUGACGGUACCUCCUAGCAGA
rnacentral:rRNA from 1 species